rnacentral:rRNA from 1 species
CUACGGGGCGCACCAGUGAGGAAUAUUGCACAAUGGGGGAAACCCUGAUGCAGCAACGCCGCGUGGAGGAUGACGCAUUUCGGUGUGUAAACUCCUUUUAUGAGUCAAGAAAAUGACGGUAGCUCAUGAAUAAGCACCGGCUAACUCCGUGCCAGCAGCCGCGGUAAUACGGAGGGUGCAAGCGUUACUCGGAAUCACUGGGCGUAAAGGACGCGUAGGCGGGCUUGUAAGUCAGGUGUGAAAUCCUACAGCUUAACUGUAGAACUGCACUUGAAACUACGAGCCUAGAGUAUGGGAGGGGCAGAUGGAAUUAGUGGUGUAGGGGUAAAAUCCGUAGAUAUCACUAGGAAUACCUAAAGCGAAGGCGAUCUCCUGGAACAUUACUGACGCUAAGGCGUGAAAGCGUGGGGAGCAAACAGGAUUAGAUACCCUCGUAGUC